UUAAUGUUCUUUUUCGAACAGGCGACUUCAUUUUGGUGGGUGAUUUGAUGCGAUCUAUCACGCUGUUGCAUUACAAGCAAAUGGGAGUAGUUGUGAGGAGAUCGAUUUCAACCAAAUUUCUCAAAACUAUUGAUACCAAAUUUCUCAAAACUAUUGAUACAUUGGAUGACGAUGCGUUCCUUGGGUGGACAACAGCAAGAAUCUAUUUGUUUGCCUAAAAGAUGGGACCACAACAACGGGCGACGAACGAUAGCAAAUGCCAGAGGUUCCUCAAUUCAUGCCAUGGUUCGCUCGUGAUGCAAAACAUUGGUGAGCGAACGACGCUGACAACGGGCUGUGUGCUAUUUGGCACGGUCUGAUCACAAAUAACACUCGAUUAUUAUGAAUUUCUUCGAAAGUUACGGGAAAGUUUGAUACAAUCAAAUCUGUUGGUAAGACUGAUUAUUCGUAUUGGCGUAGUUUCCAUACCGAAAUGGAAACGGAACGUUGCGAGGGAUUUAUUGAUGGAGGAUGGAUAGUGGAUAGUGGAUAGUUUUCUGGAUUUAACUCGGGAAAUAUAUACGAUGCAUUGGGAUUGCAGAUCGACGGGGAUAGAACUAAGAAGGAAGCGGCCGUAGAUGAUAAAAUCAAGAUUGUAGAAGACCUAACAUGGACACAUCAGGAUGUCCAGUGUUGGUCAUGAUUAUUGAAUGAAUGCUAUCAGUUGCUAUAGUUGCGAAAAAUAAUUUCAUGUUUGUAGGAUAAUAAAGAAAUUCCAGUAAACGUAUUGUUUACUACACAUUA